rnacentral:rRNA from 1 species
AGCGAACGCUGGCGGCAGGCCUAACACAUGCAAGUCGAACGAACUCUUCGGAGUUAGUGGCGGACGGGUGUGUAGCACGUGGGAACGUGCCUUUUGGUUCGGAAUAACUCAGGGACACUUGUGCUAAUACCGAAUGAGUCCCUCUGGGGCAAGAUUUAUCGCCAUUAGAGCGGCCCGCGUCGGAUUAGCUAGUUGGUGAGGUAACGGCUCACCAAGGCGACGAUCAGUAGCUGGUCUGAGAGGAUGACCAGCCACACUGGGACUGAGACACGGCCCAGACUCCUACGGGAGGCAGCAGUGGGGAAUCUUGCGCAAUGGGCGAAAGCCUGACGCAGCCAUGCCGCGUGAAUGAUGAAGGUCUUAGGAUUGUAAAAUUCUUUCACCGGGGACGAUAAUGACGGUACCCGGAGAAGAAGCCCCGGCUAACUUCGUG